rnacentral:rRNA from 1 species
UACCAGCACCCCGAGUGGUCUGGACGUUUAUUGGGCCUAAAGCAUCCGUAGCCGGUUCUACAAGUCUUCCGUUAAAUCCAACUGCUUAACAGGUGGGCUGCGGAAGAUACUAUAGAGCUAGGAGGCGGGAGAGGCAAGCGGUACUCGACGGGUAGGGGUAAAAUCCGUUGAUCCAUUGAAGACCACCAGUGGCGAAGGCGGCUUGCCAGAACGCGCUCGACGGUGAGGGAUGAAAGCUGGGGGAGCAAACCGG